AGCCAAGCAACCAACCAGACUAUGACAGUAUUAGAAGAGUCUAAGCGAUCACACAUGUAACUCCAAGAAUCGGAAAGAAUAGUUCAUUGAGAUGCCCUGCCCAAUAUCAUUGAAUAACUAACAAGAAAAAAAUAAGCUCCUACAUUCAGCAAUAUAAAGCUAGCAUAGUUGGCACCCCAAAUUGAAGAAUCAUUCUGCAUCCUGGAAAGGACAAUAGCAGCAAGUGUUGUGCAGGUCAAAUUACCAUGCAACAAAACCAUGAUAUGCAUCAUGUGACAGUAGCAUCGUUUAAGGGAAAAUACUCUACCAGGAGAUUGAUAGGAUACAUGCUGAUGACCACAUUGCUUCGACAGGUAUCCAUUGGAAUCUCAAGUACAUCGUACAGUGUUGUAUUAUCGAGUUCCAUAAUGUGGUCAGCUGUAAGCUUGCUGAUGAAAACAGCCUGGAAGUUUUGAAGUGCUGAUGUAGAUUCCUCACAAAGGUCAAACCCAGUUAGCAGUUACUUCUAUGCAACCCAGUUUGAUGUUACCAAAAGGAUCAAAGUAAUUCAAGGCAUGUGAACUAAACCAAGAGGCAGCAGGGAAGAACAUGUAUGUGUCUACCUGCGGAUGAUCGUCAAGAUUAGGUCGGAUGAAGGGUGUCCUCACACAACACAUGUUUGAUGAGACGCCGACAUCCUCAUACAUCUCUCUUGUUUAAGUUUU
rnacentral:lncRNA from 1 species